rnacentral:lncRNA from 1 species
AUAAAUCUCUCUUUGAUGUCUAAAAACUAGUAAGAAAACUCUCACAAAAUCACAUAAAGAUAGAAGGAGAGGAGGGGUGGGUGUGUGAAGUUUGGGGCAUCCAACUCUUGGAUGCCCCAACCCUCUUUUCUUUUUUGCAACAAGAAAGAAGGGAGAAUGCCUCUUUUUUCAUGAAAAGAAGAGAGGGGGCGUGGCUCUUAAUGGGGCAUGGGAUUUCUCAACGUGAAGAGGGAGUAGGG